rnacentral:rRNA from 1 species
CCUACGGGUGGCAGCAGUGGGGAAUAUUGCACAAUGGGCGCAAGCCUGAUGCAGCCAUGCCGCGUGUGUGAAGAAGGCCUUCGGGUUGUAAAGCACUUUCAGCGGGGAGGAAGGCGUUAAGGUUAAUAACCUUGGCGAUUGACGUUACCCGCAGAAGAAGCACCGGCUAACUCCGUGCCAGCAGCCGCGGUAAUACGGAGGGUGCAAGCGUUAAUCGGAAUUACUGGGCGUAAAGCGCACGCAGGCGGUCUGUCAAGUCGGAUGUGAAAUCCCCGGGCUCAACCUGGGAACUGCAUUCGAAGCGGGCAGGCUAGAGUCUUGUAGAGGGGGGUAGAAUUCCAGGGGUAGCGGUGAAAUGCGUAGAGAGCGGGCGGAAUACCGGUGGCGAGGGCGGCCCCUGGACAAAGACUGACGCUCAGGUGCGAAAGCGUGGGGAGCAAACAGGAUUAGAUACCCGGGUAGUC